rnacentral:rRNA from 1 species
AUGAACGCUGGCGGCGUGCCUAAUCCCUGCAAGUCGAGCGAACAGAUGAGGAGCUUGCUCCUCUGACGUUAGCGGCGGACGGGUGAGUAACACGUGGAUAACCUACCUAUAAGACUGGGAUAACUUCGGGAAUCCGGAGCUAAUACCGGAUAAUAUAUUGAACCGCAUGGUUCAAUAGUGAAAGACGGUUUUGCUGUCACUUAUAGAUGGAUCCGCGCCGCAUUAGCUAGUUGGUAAGGUAACGGCUUACCAAGGCGACGAUGCGUAGCCGACCUGAGAGGGUGAUCGGCCACACUGGAACUGAGACACGGUCCAGACUCCUACGGGAGGCAGCAGUAGGGAAUCUUCCGCAAUGGGCGAAAGCCUGACGGAGCAACGCCGCGUGAGUGAUGAAGGUCUUCGGAUCGUAAAACUCUGUUAUUAGGGAAGAACAAAUGUGUAAGUAACUAUGCACGUCUUGACGGUACCUAAUCAGAAAGCCACGGCUAACUACGUG